CUAGCCGUAAACGAUGGGCACUAAGUAGGGGAGGUUCUGACACCUUCUCUACCGGAGCUAAUGUAUUAAGUGCCCCGCCUGGGGAGUAUGAUCGCAAGGUUAAAACUCAAAGGAAUUGACGGGGGCUCACACAAGCGGUGGAGCAUGUGGUUCAAUUCGAAGCAACGCGCAGAACCUUACCUGGGCUUGACAUGCUUAGUGUAGUCUGAUGAAAGUCGGAUGAACCGGGUAACCGGAAACUUUGCACAGGUGC
rnacentral:rRNA from 1 species